CAGCUCAGUACAUAAUUAAGAAGCCCUGGAGCCUGGGACAGCCUUUUAUCUUGAAAAGUGGCUCUUCCAGACCCUACCAAUCCCUGCACCCAGCACUGGGUUUGGCCAGUGAGUAAUGGAAAAGCAAGGGAACGCCGAGGAAUCGAAGACAGUGUGCUGAAGAGAUGAGAAAGGACAAUACGAGUCAUGGUGAACCUUGACAUUCC
rnacentral:lncRNA from 1 species